AGGAGGGCUCCCUGGAUACCGCUGACAACUGGAUCUCUGGAAUAAAGAUUCGAAGACAGACAAAAACAAUUAGAGCAGCCAUGAGGAUCCAGCACCUGCGAGGCAAGAGGAGGCCCCAGCAGCCUGUACACCCCCGUGGAGAGGAGUAAUUUCCGAUAUACCCCAGCCUUCACAUCACGCCAUUCUCAAGCCAAGUGACAAUCUGGCGACUUCAGGAACUUGGAAAUAAAAGAUGUCAUCAGAGUAGCCUGGGGAACAGAGGUCUGGAGAGAACCUGAGGCAGCGUGUCAAACUCCCUUCAUUCAGACUGGCCCCAUGAUAGGCGGUACGACAGAAUUUCCC